CAACAAUUUAGGAAAGAUUGUAUACCAAAUUAAGUUUUGGUACAAAUGUUAUAAAUGAUGCAAAUAUUUGGGAUGAGGGUGUAGUUUUACUAAAAUAUUUUCCAAAUUUAUAAUUCUGAGUAAACCUAGGACUUAAAUAUAAUAAAUUAAGUUUUAAAUGUUAUUACUUGGGUAUCAGUAGUCACUCGCUUCCUCUUGCACGCGCUGAGCGCCAUGGCUGCCGCCGACACUUCAGCCGUGCGCCCUCUGGUCACUGUGCAGUCUCUUCCAUCUCUAAAUGAGAUGGCCACAGACUCCUCCACCACUCUGGCUCCUCCUGACGUGAUGAAGGCCUCGAUCGGACCUGACAUCGUUAACUUUGUCCACGCCAACAUCUCCAAGAACAGCCGCCAGCCCUUCGCUGUGUCCAAGCUCGCUGGCCACCAGACCUCUGCCGAGUCCUGGGGCACUGGCCGUGCCGUAUCCCGUAUCCCCCGUGUCCCCGGUGGUGGUACUUACCGCGCUGGCCAGGGCGCUUUUGGUAACAUGUGUCGUGGUGGGCGAAUGUUUGCUCCUACGAAGAUCUGGCGGCGCUGGCACCGUAAGAUCAAUGUGAAUCAGAAGAGAUACGCCGUCGUAUCUGCUAUUGCUGCCUCUGCUAUCUCUUCUCUGGUGAUGGCUCGCGGGCAUAAGGUAGAAUCUGUCCCUGAAAUGCCAAUGGUCAUCAGCGAUUCUGCAGAGAGCGUUGAGAAAACUUCAGCUGCG
rnacentral:misc_RNA from 1 species